UACGUAGGGUGCGAGCGUUAAUCGGAAUUACUGGGCGUAAAGCGUGCGCAGGCGGUUCGUUGUGUCGGUGGUGAAAUCCCCGGGCUUAACCUGGGAAUGGCAUUUGGGACUGCAAGGCUGGAGUGUGGCAGAGGAGACUGGAAUUCCUGGUGUAGCAGUGAAAUGCGUAGAUAUCAGGAGGAACACCGAUGGCGAAGGCAGGUCUCUGGGCCACUACUGACGCUGAGAAGCGAAAGCGUGGGGAGCGAACAGG
rnacentral:rRNA from 1 species